AUUUGAAUUAGAUUUUUUUUAUGUAACAUUUUUUGUCACUUUUGAUCAAUUUAAUCCAUCCUUGCUGAAUAAAAGUACUAAUGGCUUUCAAUAAUAAAAAAAUAAAUAUUAUUAUUGUUCUGUGCACAGCACACAUCUCUUUAUGAGUGGCCAGUAUGCAUGCUGGCUUUUAUUUUUAGCUGCUUACAAACCAGUUCCAGCAUGUUUCUUCUACAGACGCUUUCUUCCUUCUCCAUGUUUGUUCUUGCUUGUAUACACAGUUCUGAUUAAAAGCAUUUAUAUAGCGCCAUGCUUUUCAAACACCACAUCCUAAAUCACUAUGCCAGCUCACUGCCACGCCCUUUUGAAAGCAAUGACAUCACUGCAACUUACAUCCUUGGCCAUGGGCAUCUGUGGAAUGUUCCACGGUCCAAGAAACUGGCGUCACAAGAGACCUAAAAGGGCACAAGUGAUUGACAGCAACCCGCCUUGCCAACCUCGGUCCCUUAGGUAAAGUCUCUCAUAGCUUUCUGUGUUUAUUCAUCCUUGCCCUAUUCCACAAGACCCUGGAGGCGUCGUCCAAAACACAGUCAUUAUUUAUACAGCAGGAUCCAUUAGACAGGAACCAGCCCAAGCAAAACACGCCAUGCUGUGUAAUUGUCAUUUAUUUGUGAGGCUGAAAUCCAGGGCUGGUGGCUGGAGUUCUUGUGGGGAUUUGUGUUUGUUACGGAGCACUGGAGUGAAUGCUAGCCAUUUAAGGGCUUGAACGACUCUUUUCUACCGCUAAUGGAGACGUGGACUAUUAUAAAUUCAAGGACAGAGUGAGAAACAUGAGUCUUGAGAGUGGGAGUUUUUGUUUGACAUAAGAGUACAGAAGGAAUCCUGCUUAUUCCAAUUAUCUCUUUAUGAAUGAGCAAUAAAAUUAGCAAAGGAUUGUAUUAGUAAUGUAGAUGAAGAGAUAGAUGCUCAUUUGGUUAUUCUCUGAACAACACAGCAGUCUCGAUUAUGGUGAUAAUAUGACCAAUGCUAACUGAAGUAUUUCUCUUUUCAUGCAUGAUGCUGCUCACACGCAGACACUCUGAAUGUGCUGGAUUGUGUCAGUCGGGGGAUUUAUCAGGGAGUUGAAGUAUGAAUCUGGGCUUCAUGGUGGAUUUGAGAUUCUUGGAACCGUUUAAGUGGCACUAACACAGUGACUGUUUCAAAAAUCACUCCCCAUAUUGAGCAAUUGUCUGGAGAUCACAUUCUCUCACUCUCUUUGUGUUUGUGCACUUGUGAAUGUGUGCAUGAAUUUGUGCAUUCAAAUCUUUGGGUAGACAGAGAAUCGAUUUGAGUCACGAUUCAUAGGUUUUCGUUUUUCGAUUAAGGUACGAUUUUUGCAAAUUUAGAAUGAUUUGAUCUGAUUCAUAAUUAGAUUUCAUUUGAAUUUGAUUCGUAUUUUUUAUAUAGAAUAUUAUUUGAUACAUUCAGUUUUCUCAACUUCUCACGCAAAUAUAGAAUCAUUCUACAUCACAAGCAAUGCCACUGAAUGACAGCAUCAAACAAGAAGCUAAAGCUUUACUGCUGGAAUUGUUUGCUAUUUGGGCCGCCGUUGCAACUGUUUUAAAUAUGUUAAUCUUUGAGAAAACAGUCAUUUUGUUGAAUUACUGGUCAGUCGGUACAUUUACAAACUCAGCACUGACCUGGUUCAAGAGUGAUGGUUUGUUACUAUAUGUUCAAAUAUUUUACUAAAAUAGUGGUUGGGAUUUUUAUUCAGCUCAGUGAUUUUUGUGUCUCUGUGACUCAGAAUCUUUUGAAUCUGUUCAGCAUAAAGAUUUGUUCAGAUGUGUUCAUGGAUUGAGGUAUUCUUUCAGAUUAGUUGCAGACACUUGUCUUUUGUUAUGAAUGAAUCACCAAAUGAUUGAACCGAAUCAUUUAAACAAUUUGAUAAAUAACAGUGUUGUUCACAACUGAAACAAUUCUUUAUUAUCUAUUUAGAAACUUUUUUUUUUUUCAUCAAAAUGUCUGUGAAAAAUAUGAGUCAGUGCAUGGAUUCAUAAAUGGAUAAAAGAUUUGUUCAAAAAUACAGAUUCACUCAUAAACAAAUCACCACUAAGUCAUUCUACCACUCGAAAAGGAGAUAUUUAGCACUGUUUCCUACAGUGGUAUGUUCACAGAACAUAGCAUAUCUGUAGUAUAUAGCACAUGCUAAGCUGUCAGAGAGUCUGUGUGUUGGUGCCAUGAUGCUAGACAUCAGUGCCCGUGAUGUGCGACACAGAUUUAAUCUUCAUUACAUGUAUGUGCUUUACAUCAAGGCUGUGGUUUUGCAUUGUUAGAGUUCUUAGAUACCGCAUAUGUGUAUGUGCGUGCAUGUGUGAAAUUCUAAUAAAGUUUCUUAUAAAAAGGC